rnacentral:lncRNA from 1 species
AUUUUUUAAAACACAAAAAUUUUUUAAACACGGGAAUUUUUUUUUUUACACAAACUUUUCGAUUUUUUUAUUAAGCAAGUAUCGUAUUUAACACGAACCAAUGAUAUUCACUCAACAUAGCAAUGAAAUCAACAAAUUAGUGUCAAAUCGAUUCGUUGCCUUAUUUUUGAAAACACGACUAUUUUUUGAAGACACGAAAAA